GAUGAACGCUGGCGGCGUGCCUAAUACAUGCAAGUCGAGCGAACGGACGAGAAGCUUGCUUCUCUGAUGUUAGCGGCAGACGGGUGAGUAACACGUGGAUAACCUACCUAUAAGACUGGGAUAACUUCGGGAAACCGGAGCUAAUACCGGAUGAUAUUUUGAACCGCAUGGUUCAAAAGUGAAUGACGGUCUUGCUGUCACUUAUAGAUGGAUCCGCGCUGCAUUAGCUAGUUGGUAAGGUAACGGCUUACCAAGGCAACGAUGCAUAGCCGACCUGUGAGGGGGAUCGGCCACCCUGGAAGGGAGACGGGGUCCAGAGUCCUACGGGAGGGAGCAGUAGGGAACCGGACGCAGUGGGCGAAAGCCUGACGGAGCAACGCCGAGUGAGUGAUGAAGGUCUUCGGAUCGUAAAACUCUGUUACUAGGGAAGAACAUAUGUGUAAGGAACUGUGGACAUCUUGACGGUACCUAAUAAGAAAGCAACGGCUAACUACGUG
rnacentral:rRNA from 1 species